rnacentral:rRNA from 1 species
CCUAACGGGAGGCAGCAGUGGGGAAUAUUGCGCAAUGGGCGAAAGCCUGACGCAGCGACGCCGCGUGAGGGAUGAAGGUCUUCGGAUCGUAAACCUCUGUCAGCAGGGAAGAACGGUCACUGUGCUAAUCAGCAGUGAAUUGACGGUACCUGCAAAGGAAGCACCGGCUAACUCCGUGCCAGCAGCCGGGGUAAUACGGAGGGUGCGAGCGUUAAUCGGAAUUACUGGGCGUAAAGCGCUCGUAGGCGGUAUGUCAAGGCAAGGGUGAAAUCCCCGCGCUAAACGUGGGCACUGCCUUUGAAACUGGCAAACUUGAGUGUGUGAGGGGAUAGUGGAAUUCCUGGUGUAGGGGUGAAAUCCGUAGAUAUCUGGAGGAACAUCAGUGGCGAAGGCGACUAUCUGGCACAUAACUGACGCUGAGGAGCGAAAGCGUGGGUAGCAAACAGGAUUAGAUACCCGUGUAGUC